rnacentral:rRNA from 1 species
CAGCCGCCGCGGUAAUACGUAGGUCCCGAGCGUUGUCCGGAUUUAUUGGGCGUAAAGCGAGCGCAGGCGGUUAGAUAAGUCUGAAGUUAAAGGCUGUGGCUUAACCAUAGUACGCUUUGGAAACUGUUUAACUUGAGUGCAAGAGGGGAGAGUGGAAUUCCAUGUGUAGCGGUGAAAUGCGUAGAUAUAUGGAGGAACACCGGUGGCGAAAGCGGCUCUCUGGCUUGUAACUGACGCUGAGGCUCGAAAGCGUGGGGCGCAAACAGGAUUAGAUACCCCAGUAGUCCCUGUCUCUUAUACC